GACGUAGGGCGCGAGCGUUGUCCGGAUUUAUUGGGCGUAAAGAGCUCGUAGGCGGCUUGUUGCGUCAGCUGUGAAAACCCGCAGCUCAACUGUGGGCUUGCAGCUGAUACGGGCAGGCUUGAGUUCGGUAGGGGAGACUGGAAUUCCUGGUGUAGCGGUGAAAUGCGCAGAUAUCAGGAGGAACACCGAUGGCGAAGGCAGGUCUCUGGGCCGAU
rnacentral:rRNA from 1 species